GACGAACGCUGGCGGCGUGCUUAACACAUGCAAGUCGAACGGUGAAGCGCCUUCCUUUUGGGUGGGUGUGGAUGAGUGGCGAACGGUUGAGUAACACUUGAGUAACCUGCCCCCUUCUUCUGGAUAACCGCACGAAAGUGUGGCUAAGACGGGAUAUUCUGCGUCUGUGGCAUGAUGGGUCUGGUUAGGCUAUUGGUUCGGGGGGGGAGGGGCUGGCGGUCUAUCAGGUUGUUGGUGGGGUGAUGGCCUACGAAGGCGGUGACGGGUAGCCGGGCUGGGAGGGUGGCCGGUCACACUGGGUCUGAGACACGGCUGGGACUGCUACGGGAGGCAGCAGUGGGGGAUAUUGCACAGUGGGCGAAAGUCUGAUGCAGCGGCGCCGCGUGAGGGAUGGCGGCCUGCGGGUUGUGAACCUCUUUGGCCAGUGAAGCAGGCCUGCCUCGUUUGUGGGUGGGUUGACGGUAGCUGGAUAAGAAGCGCCGGCUAACUACGUG
rnacentral:rRNA from 1 species